UAUACCUUGUUUUAAUUUUCUUGUCUUCGUUUCACUCUGCAACAACUCUCUAUCUACAGAUCACAUGACUGUUAUUGUUACUAUGUAAGAAAUUAUCACUUUCUAAAAAUGGAAAAAACAAACAUAGAAUGUGAAUAAUUCUGUGUGGAUCAGUAGUAGAUUCAUAUAGCAGUCAAAAGGACAUUAACUAUUUGCUAUUUAAGUAUUUUGAAAUGUACGUUGAGGAAUAAUGAUUAUUCAUCAGAAAAAUCCAAUGUGAGUGGUGAAUAUUGUUGUGCAAAUAUAUGUAGUUCUACUCAAAUAUAUGUAAUAUACUGUUCAUCUGUUAGCACUGUUUGACAGUGUUUCCGCAUUCAGAACGCCUUCACAGCAUGACUAUUAUUGUACUUUAGUGAAAGCACUGCCUUAUUCUGUUCACACCAGUGCAGAGACCAUGUAACAGCAUAUUGGUCACAAGCUACGAGAAACUCAAUAAUUUUUUGCAGAGAAAGCGAAAGAAAUCUCUUAGCAGCCAUGGUCGGUGUGCUUCUCUUUGCAUAUAUCUCAGUGAAUCUAUUCCUUAAAUGUCAAGGUCAAACGAUUCAUCAAGCUAAGAUUUUCUGUGAAAAUAAAGAAGUACCAGAAGGUGGAAGACUGGAGGUUACUUGCAGCACAUUUGGCCUUACAGUAAAGGCAGUUCAUUUAUAUCUGUUUAAAAAUGGCA